rnacentral:rRNA from 1 species
AUUGAACGCUGGCGGCAGGCCUACCACAUGCAAGUCGAGCGAGCGGCGGACGGGUGAGUAAUGUCUGGGAACCUGCCUGAUGGAGGGGGAUAACUACUGGAAACGGUAGCUAAUACCGCAUACCAUCAGAUGUGCCCAGAUGGGCUUAGCUGGUAGGUGGGGUAACGGCUCACCUAGGCGACGAUCCCUAGCUGGUCUGAGAGGAUGACCAGCCACACUGGAACUGAGACACGGUCCAGACUCCUACGGGAGUCAGCAGUGGGGAAUAGUGCACAAUGGGCGCAAGCCUGAUGCAGCCAUGCCGCGUGGGUGAAGAAGGCCUUCGGGUUGGAAAGCACUUGAAGCGGGGAGGCGUUACCCGCAGAAGAAGCACCGGCUAACUCCGUGCCAGCCGCCGCGGUAAUUC